CCUACGGGAGGCAGCAGUGGGGAAUAUUGGGCAAUGGGCGCAAGCCUGACCCAGCAACGCCGCGUGAAGGAAGAAGGCUUUCGGGUUGUAAACUUCUUUUAAGAGGGAAGAGCAGGAGACGGUACCUCUUGAAUAAGCCACGGCUAACUACGUGCCAGCAGCCGCGGUAAUACGUAGGUGGCAAGCGUUGUCCGGAUUUACUGGGUGUAAAGGGAGCGUAGACGGCUGCGCAAGUCAGAAGUGAAAGCCCGGGGCUCAACCGCGGGACUGCUUUUGAAACUGUAUAGCUAGAGUGCAGGAGAGGUAAGUGGAAUUCCUAGUGUAGCGGUGAAAUGCGUAGAUAUUAGGAGGAACAUCAGUGGCGAAGGCGACUAUCUGGCAAGUAACUGACGCUGAGGAGCGAAAGCGUGGGUAGCAAACAGGAUUAGAUACCCGGGUAGUC
rnacentral:rRNA from 1 species